GAAGGAAUCCAAGCUGCCCAGCCUGGCCUCUGAGCUCUCCCCACCUUAUCUGCCGCUCCUCCCCAUCUCACCGAACACCCCAGUCACAAGGAGGGACUCACGGUUCCUGGAGACACCCUGGAUUCUCUCUCCCUCUCCUCGGGAAAUGUGCAUGAGACACCUUGGUUGCUUCCAACUUUGGGCAGUUAUACAUAAAGCUGCUAUGAACAUCCAUGUGCUGGUUUUUGUGUACGUGAGUUUUUGACUUAUUUGAGUGGAUACCAAGGAGCACGAUUGCUGGAUCAUAUGGAUGGAUGCCCCACGUGGGGAGGGAUUUGUGUCUGUUUCAUUAGCCGGUGGGUGAUCAACACCUAGGACGGUGCCCAGCCCGGAGUGGGAGUUCGGUAGACGGUGUCAGAACUGAACCGAACUGUAGACACCCAGCUUUGCUGCGGAAUUGCUCGAUGUGUGACCAAAUGUCACACACACAUUUGGUGACCGGAAGUGUCAGAGGUGAAGUAUUCCGUGAGUAGUGUUGUAGGAGAGUAGAGAAGGAAAACGGAAGAGUUCUUCUUUGCAUACCUGGAGUAGUCAUAUUCAUAGGGACAGAAAGUAGAAG